rnacentral:rRNA from 1 species
GCUACUACGUGCAGCAGCGCGGUAUACGUAGGGUGGCGAGCGUAUCGGAGUACUGGGCGUAAAGCGUGCGCAGGCGGUUUGGUAAGACAGGCGUGAAAUCCCCGGGCUCAACCUGGGAACUGCGCUUGUGACUGCCUCACUAGAGUACGGCGGAGGGGGGUGGAAUUCCACGUGUAGCAGUGAAAUGCGUAGAGAUGUGGAGGAACACCGAUGGCGAAGGCAGCCCCCUGGGCCGAUACUGACGCUCAUGCACGAAAGCGUGGGUAGCAAACAGGAUUAGAUACCCUGGUAGUCCACGCCCUAAACGAUGUCAACUAGUUGUUGGGGGGGUAAAACCCUUUAGUAACGUAGCUAACGCGUGAAGUUGACCGCCUGGGGAGUACGGCCGCAAGGUUAAAACUCAAAGGAAUUGACGGGGACCCGCACAAGCGGUGGAUGAUGUGGAUUAAUUCGAUGCAACGCGAAAAACCUUACCUACCCUUGACAUGUUCAGAAGCUUGAAGAGAUUUGAGUGUGCCCGAAAGGGAACUGAAACACAGGUGCUGCAUGGCUGUCGUCAGCUCGUGUCGUGAGAUGUUGGGUUAAGUCCCGCAACGAGCGCAACCCUUGUCGUUAAUUGCCAUCAUUUAGUUGGGCACUUUAGCGAGACUGCCGGUGACAAACCGGAGGAAGGUGGGGAUGACGUCAAGUCCUCAUGGCCCUUAUGGGUAGGGCUUCACACGUCAUACAAUGGUCGGUACAGAGGGUUGCCAAGCCGCGAGGUGGAGCCAAUCCCAGAAAGCCGAUCGUAGUCCGGAUUGCAGGCUGCAACUCGCCUGCAUGAAGUCGGAAUCGCUAGUAAUCGCGGAUCAGCAUGUCGCGGUGAAUACGUUCCCGGGUCUUGUACACACCGCCCGUCACACCAUGGGAGUGGGUUCUGCCAGAAGUAGGUAGCCUAACCGCAAGGAGGGCGCUUACCACGGCAGGGUUCAUGACUGGGGUGAAGUCGUAACAAGGUAACCAAUC